rnacentral:rRNA from 1 species
GGGUGUGAUCAUACCAACACUAAUGCACCGAAUCCUAUCAGAACUCUGCAGUUAAGUGUGUUUGGGCGAGAGUAGUACUAGGAUCGGUGAUCUCCCGCUCUUUGUGUUGCAUUUC